UGGGGGAUAUUGCACAAUGGGCGAAAGCCUGAUGCAGCGACGCCGCGUGGGGGAUGAAGGCUUUCGGGUUGUAAACCUCUUUCGCUAUCGAACAAGGCCCGCUUAGGGUGGGUUGAGGGUAGGUGGAGAAGAAGCGCCGGCUAACUACGUGCCAGCAGCCGCGGUAAUACGUAGGGCGCGAGCGUUGUCCGGAAUUAUUGGGCGUAAAGGGCUUGUAGGCGGCUUGUUGCGCCUGCUGUGAAAACGCGGGGCUUAACUUCGCGCGUGCAGUGGGUACGGGCAGGCUUGAGUGUGGUAGGGGUGACUGGAAUUCCAGGUGUAGCGGUGGAAUGCGCAGAUAUCUGGAGGAACACCGAUGGCGAAGGUAGGUCACUGGGCCAUUACUGACGCUGAGGAGCGAAAGCAUGGGUAGCGAACAGG
rnacentral:rRNA from 1 species